GCUUAGCGUGAGGGAUAGCAGUGGAGCUCUUUUUAGAGCAGAGGAACGAGGCUGUAAAAAAGCGGGAACGUAUAGCCCGACCCACA
rnacentral:sRNA from 1 species